rnacentral:rRNA from 1 species
UAACCGGCGAUUUCCGAAUGGGGAAACCCAGUGUGUUUCGACACACUAUCAUUAACUGAAUCCAUAGGUUAAUGAGGCGAACCGGGGGAACUGAAACAUCUAAGUACCCCGAGGAAAAGAAAUCAACCGAGAUUCCCCCAGUAGCGGCGAGCGAACGGGGAGGAGCCCAGAGCCUGAAUCAGUGUGUGUGUUAGUGGAAGCGUCUGGAAAGGCGCGCGAUACAGGGUGACAGCCCCGUACACAAAAAUGCACAUACUGUGAGCUCGAUGAGUAGGGCGGGACACGUGGUAUCCUGUCUGAAUAUGGGGGGACCAUCCUCCAAGGCUAAAUACUCCUGACUGACCGAUAGUGAACCAGUACCGUGAGGGAAAGGCGAAAAGAACCCCGGCGAGGGGAGUGAAAAAGAACCUGAAACCGUGUACGUACAAGCAGUGGGAGCCUCUUAAUGGGGUGACUGCGUACCUUUUGUAUAAUGGGUCAGCGACUUAUAUUCUGUAGCAAGGUUAACCGAAUAGGGGAGCCGAAGGGAAACCGAGUCUUAACUGGGCGUUAAGUUGCAGGGUAUAGACCCGAAACCCGGUGAUCUAGCUAUGGGCAGGUUGAAGGUUGGGUAACACUAACUGGAGGACCGAACCGACUAAUGUUGAAAAAUUAGCGGAUGACUUGUGGCUGGGGGUGAAAGGCCAAUCAAACCGGGAGAUAGCUGGUUCUCCCCGAAAGCUAUUUAGGUAGCGCCUCGUGAAUUCAUCUCCGGGGGUAGAGCACUGUUUCGGCAAGGGGGUCAUCCCGACUUACCAACCCGAUGCAAACUGCGAAUACCGGAGAAUGUUAUCACGGGAGACACACGGCGGGUGCUAACGUCCGUCGUGAAGAGGGAAACAACCCAGACCGCCAGCUAAGGUCCCAAAGUCAUGGUUAAGUGGGAAACGAUGUGGGAAGGCCCAGACAGCCAGGAUGUUGGCUUAGAAGCAGCCAUCAUUUAAAGAAAGCGUAAUAGCUCACUGGUCGAGUCGGCCUGCGCGGAAGAUGUAACGGGGCUAAACCAUGCACCGAAGCUGCGGCAGCGACGCUUAUGCGUUGUUGGGUAGGGGAGCGUUCUGUAAGCCUGUGAAGGUGGCCUGUGAGGGUUGCUGGAGGUAUCAGAAGUGCGAAUGCUGACAUAAGUAACGAUAAAGCGGGUGAAAAGCCCGCUCGCCGGAAGACCAAGGGUUCCUGUCCAACGUUAAUCGGGGCAGGGUGAGUCGACCCCUAAGGCGAGGCCGAAAGGCGUAGUCGAUGGGAAACAGGUUAAUAUUCCUGUACUUGGUGUUACUGCGAAGGGGGGACGGAGAAGGCUAUGUUGGCCGGGCGACGGUUGUCCCGGUUUAAGCGUGUAGGCUGGUUUUCCAGGCAAAUCCGGAAAAUCAAGGCUGAGGCGUGAUGACGAGGCACUACGGUGCUGAAGCGACAAAUGCCCUGCUUCCAGGAAAAGCCUCUAAGCAUCAGGUAACAUUAAAUCGUACCCCAAACCGACACAGGUGGUCAGGUAGAGAAUACCAAGGCGCUUGAGAGAACUCGGGUGAAGGAACUAGGCAAAAUGGUGCCGUAACUUCGGGAGAAGGCACGCUGAUAUGUAGGUGAAGCGACUUGCUCGUGGAGCUGAAAUCAGUCGAAGAUACCAGCUGGCUGCAACUGUUUAUUAAAAACACAGCACUGUGCAAACACGAAAGUGGACGUAUACGGUGUGACGCCUGCCCGGUGCCGGAAGGUUAAUUGAUGGGGUUAGCGGUAACGCGAAGCUCUUGAUCGAAGCCCCGGUAAACGGCGGCCGUAACUAUAACGGUCCUAAGGUAGCGAAAUUCCUUGUCGGGUAAGUUCCGACCUGCACGAAUGGCGUAAUGAUGGCCAGGCUGUCUCCACCCGAGACUCAGUGAAAUUGAACUCGCUGUGAAGAUGCAGUGUACCCGCGGCAAGACGGAAAGACCCCGUGAACCUUUACUAUAGCUUGACACUGAACAUUGAGCCUUGAUGUGUAGGAUAGGUGGGAGGCUUUGAAGUGUGGACGCCAGUCUGCAUGGAGCCGACCUUGAAAUACCACCCUUUAAUGUUUGAUGUUCUAACGUGGGCCCCUUACCGGGGUUGCGGACAGUGUCUGGUGGGUAGUUUGACUGGGGCGGUCUCCUCCUAAAGAGUAACGGAGGAGCACGAAGGUUGGCUAAUCCUGGUCGGACAUCAGGAGGUUAGUGCAAUGGCAUAAGCCAGCUUGACUGCGAGCGUGACGGCGCGAGCAGGUGCGAAAGCAGGUCAUAGUGAUCCGGUGGUUCUGAAUGGAAGGGCCAUCGCUCAACGGAUAAAAGGUACUCCGGGGAUAACAGGCUGAUACCGCCCAAGAGUUCAUAUCGACGGCGGUGUUUGGCACCUCGAUGUCGGCUCAUCACAUCCUGGGGCUGAAGUAGGUCCCAAGGGUAUGGCUGUUCGCCAUUUAAAGUGGUACGCGAGCUGGGUUUAGAACGUCGUGAGACAGUUCGGUCCCUAUCUGCCGUGGGCGCUGGAGAACUGAGGGGGGCUGCUCCUAGUACGAGAGGACCGGAGUGGACGCAUCACUGGUGUUCGGGUUGUCAUGCCAAUGGCACUGCCCGGUAGCUAAAUGCGGAAGAGAUAAGUGCUGAAAGCAUCUAAGCACGAAACUUGCCCCGAGAUGAGUUCUCCCUGACUCCUUGAGAGUCCUGAAGGAACGUUGAAGACGACGACGUUGAUAGGCCGGGUGUGUAAGCGCAGCGAUGCGUUGAGCUAACCGGUACUAAUGAACCGUGAGGCUUAACCU